UGGGGAAUAUUGGGCAAUGGGCGCAAGCCUGACCCAGCAACGCCGCGUGAGGGAAGAAGGUCUUCGGAUUGUAAACCUCUGUCCUUGGGGACGAAAAAAAUGACGGUACCCAAGGAGGAAGCUCCGGCUAACUACGUGCCAGCAGCCGCGGUAAUACGUAGGGAGCGAGCGUUGUCCGGAAUUACUGGGCGUAAAGGGUGCGUAGGCGGCUAGGCAAGUCAGAUGUGAAAUCCCCGGGCUUAACUCGGGUGGUGCAUUUGAAACUGCUUGGCUUGAGUGCAGGAGAGGAAAGCGGAAUUCCUAGUGUAGCGGUGAAAUGCGUAGAUAUUAGGAGGAACACCAGUGGCGAAGGCGGCUUUCUGGACUGUAACUGACGCUGAGGCACGAAAGCGUGGGGAGCAAACAG
rnacentral:rRNA from 1 species